rnacentral:rRNA from 1 species
ACGAACGCUGGCGGCGUGCUUAACACAUGCAAGUCGAGCGGUAAGGCCCUUUCGGGGGUACGACGAGCGGCGAACGGGUGAGUAACACGUGGGUGACCUGCCCUCAGCUCUGGGAUAAGCCUGGGAAACCGGGUCUAAUACUGGAUAUGACUCCAUGACGCAUGUUGUGGGGUGGAGAGCCUUGUGCGGCUGAGGAUGGGCCCGCGGCCUAUCAGCUUGUUGGUGGGGGGAU